UGAAGUCACUAUUGUAAGUCGGUUUGGAUAAAACUGUCUGCUAAAUGUCCUAUU
rfam:Salmo salar isolate Sally breed double haploid chromosome ssa10, whole genome shotgun sequence.